UGAACCUUGAAUAAUACACUACGUUAAGUCAAACAAGCCAGACACAAAAGGAUAAUACACGAUUCCACUUACAUGAGGAAAAGAGGAAGACAGUAACUUGACAGUGGAGAAACCUGGAAGCCAUUGCCUUAACCAAGUCAUGAAGAAUAAAAACACGCGUCCUGGAGGCAGAAAAACCAUCUUGUGCCCAUGAGGGAGAACACCAAACAAAUCUGGAUGACUUCCUUGAGUAGCUGCAUUUAUAUAGGACUGUCAACUCCUGACUUCUUGUCCUGUAACAAAAAUCAAUUUCAAUUUGGUUAAGCUACUGAGUUGGAUUUUCAUCAAUUUCAGAAAUAGCAAUAGGUGAUGCUACAUGAAUUGCUGUCCACACCUUCUGCUACUUUCCUCUGUUGGCCAGAAGAAUAAUUUUAAUGUCGCCCAAAUGGAUUAUGCUGACCUCAACCCAGAUCCCCCUGGGAGAUAUAAACUUCGUAUAUGUUCUUGGCUGGGUCAUUGUGAAUAAUAUCUCCAUGUAUCCCAAAGCUCUGAAUUAUCCUCAUCUGUAACAGACACAACGACUAAAUGGUAUCUGGAACGUAGGUAAUUUUCUGGAAAAUAUUCAAAGGAACAAAAUGAACACUGCAAUACAAAAUUGCU